rnacentral:misc_RNA from 1 species
AAGACUUCAUCAAGUGACCCGCUUCUUGAUGUGUUCAAUGAAGUGAGUGGUGAUCUCAAGGUUGCCACCAUGUCAAUUGGAAAAAUGGCGCAAGCUAUGGAUCGUGAGGCAUCCAACCAAGAGAAGGCAAGAGAUGAGGAUCCACAACAAAAGCUAAGAGAGAAGGCGAUCAAUGAGGUCCGGAGACUUGAAUUUACUGGCUCAGAAGUUAUCAAAGCAGCUGGUGUGUUUGUUAGGAUGCCAGAUCAAAUGGGGAUGUUGUUUGCACUUCCAGAACCACUGAGGAGGGAAUACAUUGUCGACAUGCUACGUGAUGAAGAAGCAAGGAGAGAG